rnacentral:rRNA from 1 species
CUUCUUGAAUUUAUUGGAAGUCGGGCCUGUCCACUGAAUAAUUUUGAAGGGCCGCGGUAUUUUGACCGUGCAAAGGUAGCAUAAUCAUUAGUCUUUUAAUUGGAGGCUGGAAUGAAUGGUUUGACGAAAUAAUUACUGUCUCAAUAUAAUUUAAUUGAAAUUUACUUUUGAGUUAAAAGGCUUAAAUGUUAAUAAGGGACGAGAAGACCCUAUAGAUCUUUAUAUUAUGAAUUAUAUUAUUAAUUUUAGGUGUUAGUAGAUAAUAUAUGAUUUAUAGUAUUUUAUUGGGGUGAUAUGAGAAUAUGAAAACUUCUUAAUUUUUAACUUUGAUAGAGGGAUUAAUGAUCCUUUAAUAUGGAAUUAAGAUUAAGAUACCUUAGGGAUAACAGCGUAAUCUUGUUGGAGAGUUCUUAUUGAUAAUAAGGAUUGCGACCUCGAUGUUGGAUUAAGAAUAUAAUUUGGUGUAGAUGCUGAAAUAUUAUUGGUCUGUUC